AUGAAAAUGUCUCCGGAAAGACGAGGAGCGGAGGGCAAGGAAGAAGGAUCGGGGAUGGCUUCUGCUGCGCUCUCGGAGGCGGGGGCAGUCCAGCCAAGGAACAAGGGCAAUUUCAAGUACGCCUUCACCUGCGCCCUCUGCGCUUCCAUGGCCACCAUCGUCCUUGGCUACGACGUUGGGGUGAUGAGCGGUGCGUCGCUGUACAUCAAGAGGGACCUGCAGAUCACGGACGUGCAGCUGGAGAUCAUGAUGGGCAUCCUCAGCGUGUACGCGCUCAUCGGGUCCUUCCUCGGCGCGAGGACGUCCGACUGGGUCGGCCGCCGCGUCACCGUCGUCUUCGCGGCCGCCAUCUUCACCACCGGCUCCUUGCUCAUGGGCUUCGCGGUCAACUACGCCAUGCUCAUGGUCGGCCGCUUCGUCACCGGCAUCGGCGUGGGCUACGCCAUCAUGGUCGCGCCCGUGUACACGGCCGAGGUGUCGCCCGCGUCGGCCCGCGGCUUCCUCACGUCUUUCACCGAGGUGUUCAUCAAUGUGGGCAUCCUCCUUGGCUACGUCUCCAACUACGCCUUCGCGCGCCUCCCGCUCCACCUUAGCUGGCGCGUCAUGCUCGGCAUCGGCGCCGUCCCGUCCGCCCUGGUCGCGCUCAUGGUGUUCGGCAUGCCGGAGUCGCCCCGCUGGCUCGUCAUGAAAGGCCGCCUCGCGGACGCCAGGGCCGUGCUGGCCAAGACCUCCGACACGCCUGAGGAGGCCGUGGAGCGCCUUGACCAGAUCAAGGCUGCCGCCGGCAUCCCUAGGGACCUUGACGGCGACGUGGUCGUCAUGCAUAAGACAAAAGGCGGCCAGGAGAAGCAGGUGUGGAAGGAGCUCAUCUUUUCGCCGAACCCAGCCAUGCGGCGCAUACUGCUCGCGGCGCUCGGCAUCCAUUUCUUCCAGCAGGCGACGGGCUCCGACUCCGUCGUGCUGUACAGCCCACGCGUGUUCCAGAGCGCGGGCAUCACCGGCGACAACCACCUGCUCGGGGCCACAUGCGCCAUGGGGGUCAUGAAGACGCUCUUCAUCCUGGUGGCCACGUUCCAGCUCGACCGCGUCGGCCGGCGGCCGCUGCUGCUGACCAGCACGGCCGGCAUGCUCGCCUGUCUCAUCGGCCUUGGGACGGGCCUCACCGUCGUGGGUCGGCACCCGGACGCCAAGGUCCCGUGGGCCAUCGGCCUGUGCAUCGUGUCCAUCUUGGCAUACGUGUCCUUCUUCUCCAUCGGCCUCGGGCCCCUCACCAGCGUGUACACCUCGGAGGUCUUCCCGCUGCGGGUGCGCGCGCUGGGCUUCGCGCUCGGCGCGUCAUGCAACCGCGUGACCAGCGCCGCGGUCUCCAUGUCCUUCCUGUCCCUGUCCAAGGCCAUCACCAUCGGCGGCAGCUUCUUCCUGUACGCCGGCAUCGCAGCGAUAGGAUGGAUUUUCUUCUUCACCUUCAUUCCGGAGACGCGUGGCCUGCCGCUCGAGGAGAUAGGGAAGCUUUUCGGCAUGACGGACACGGCCGUCGAAGCCCAAGACACGGCCACAAAAGACAAGGCGAAAGUGGUGGAGAUGAACUAG
rnacentral:rRNA from 1 species